CCACAGGGAUUGCCUUAGUAGCGGCGAGCGAAGCGGCAACAGCUCAAAUUUGAAAUCUGGCUACUUUGUAGUCCGAGUUGUAAUUUGUAGAGGAUGCUUUUGGUGAGGUGCCUUCCGAGUUCCCUGGAACGGGACGCCGGAGAGGGUGAGAGCCCCGUACGGUUGGAUACCAAACCUUUGUAUAGCUCCUUCAACGAGUCGAGUAGUUUGGGAAUGCUGCUCUAAAUGGGAGGUAUAUCUCUUCUAAAGCUAAAUACCGGCUAGAGACCGAUAGCGCACAAGUAGAGUGAUCGAAAGAUGAAAAGCACUUUGAAAAGAGAGUUAAACAGCACGUGAAAUUGUUGAAAGGGAAGCGCCUAUGACCAGACUUGUUUCUGUCAGUUUUGCUUGUUUUCGGACUUGUUUACUCUGUCAGUACAGGCCAACAUCAGUUUGUUGUUUGGGAGAAAGGCUUAGGGAAUGUGGCUCUUUCGGGAGUGUUAUAGCCCUUUGCAUAAUACCAUUCGGCAGACUGAGGACCGCGCUUCGGCAAGGAUGUUGGCGUAAUGGUCAUCAGCGACCCGUCUUGAAACACGGACCAAGGAGUCAACCUUAUGUGCGAGUGUUUGGGUGUAAAACCCCAGCGCGUAAUGAACGUGAACGUAGGUGAGAGCUUCGGCGCAUCAUCGACCGAUUCUGAUGUUCUCGGAUGGAUUUGAGUAAGAGCAUAUAGGGUUGGACCCGAAAGAAGGUGAACUAUGCUUGUAUAGGGUGAAGCCAGAGGAAACUCUGGUGGAGGCUCGCAGCGGGUUCUGACGUGCAAAUCGAUCGUCAAAUAUGAGCAUGGGGGCGAAAG
rnacentral:rRNA from 1 species